rnacentral:tRNA from 1 species
UGCUCUGUGGGUUAGUUGGUUAAAGCGCCGGUCUUGCGAAUACGGAGUCGUGGGUUCGAAUCCCACCAGAACGC